rnacentral:rRNA from 1 species
AUUUCCGGCGUUGACUCCAAUUGAACCGCAGGCUUCACCCCUUGUGGUGCUCCCCCGCCAAUUCCUUUAAGUUUCAGUCUUGCGACCGUACUCCCCAGGCGGCAGACUUAACGGCCUCCCUGCGGCACUGGGUUGGCCCGAAGCCAACCCAUCACCGAGUCUGCAUCGUUUACAGCUGGGACUACCCGGGUAUCUAAUCCGGUUUGCCCCCCCAGCUUUCAUCCCUCACCGUCGAGCGCGUUCUGGCAAACCGCCUUCGCCACUGGUGGUCUUCAGUGGAUCAGUGGAUUUUACCCCUACCCACUGAGUACCGUUUGCCUCUCCCGCCUCCUAGCCCUGUAGUAUCCUCCGCAGCCCAUCUGUUGAGCAGGUGGAUUUAACGGAGGACUUGCAGAACAAGCUACGGAUGCUUUAGGCCCAAUAAUCGUCCCGACCACUCGGGGUGCUGGUAUUACCGCGGCGGCUGACACCAGACUUGCCCACCCCUUAUUCUGCACCAUUUUUAGAGGUGCCAAAAGAUGCCCUUAGCGGGCAUCACUCAGAGUAACCCUGUCAAGCUUUCGCCUAUUGCAGAGGUUUCGCGCCUGCUGCGCCCCAUAGGGCCUGGGCCCUUGUCUCAGUGCCCAUCUCCGGGCUCCUCCUCUCAGAGCCCGUACCGGUUAUAGGUUUGGUGGGCCAUUACCUCACCAACAGCCUGAUCGGCCGCAGUCCAAUCCAGGGGCCAUAUAGAUUUUGGUCAUGAUCCAUUCCAGAAAUCUUGGCCUAUCGCGGUUUAUCCUCAGUUUCCCGAGGUUAUCCACGUCCCCUGGGCAUGUUGACUACGUGUUACUGAGCCGUAUGCCACGCCUUGCGGCGUUGACUCGCAUGGCUUAGCCCCACUCUGAUAGCAGUCGGGUCCGGCAGGAUCAACCGGAAAAU